ACAUCUCAACUCCUCACGGUUUGCCCGUGAUGAGCUUGGACUUUGGGGGUCUUGCUGGCCUGUGGGUCGGCUCCUCUCAAACAAAUCAGCUUGCCAGUGUUUGGUGGCGUCACAGGUGUGAUAACUAUCUACGCUUGUGGUUUCCCAUCAGGUGACCUUCAGUGAUGGAGGUUCACGCUGGGGCUCAUAAAGGUCUCUCCUCAGCGAGGACAGCUUUAAC
rnacentral:misc_RNA from 1 species